GGGCCUAUAGCUCAGUCGGUUAGAGCAGAGGACUCAUAAUCCUUUGGUCCACGGUUCGAGUCCGUGUGGCCCACCA
rnacentral:tRNA from 1 species